GGCCUCUCUCCCAUGGGGCUGUGAGGGGUCCCUUUUCUCCUCAACCAGGGCUGGAGGCCAACAUCGUUGGAGGGUCGUUGGAGGAUUGUUGUGAGGGCUGCUGGGGGCUGGCAGCCUUGUUUUCCUGCCUUGGACAUCU
ensembl:scaRNA small Cajal body-specific RNA 20